GUUGUCUUUGAAUUAGGUAGCCGUUUGACAUGUACAUUUCAAUUUUGAUUGCAGUUUUUUAAUUGCAUUUAACAGCGUCCCUGCUGGUUCUUCAUUCAGCAUCUGUGCAGCCACGUUCUAUUGAUGGCCUGUUGUGAUUUCAAUGGAACAUCAUGGGAAUGUACCUGGCACGUCAGGCAGCACUGGAUGGAGGUGCCCUUAGUCCUAUGCACCUGGCAUGGUGGUGAAGAGAAGGU
rnacentral:lncRNA from 1 species